rnacentral:rRNA from 1 species
GAGUAACACGUGGAUAACCUACCUAUAAGACUGGGAUAACUUCGGGAAACCGGAGCUAAUACCGGAUAAUAUUUUGAACCGCAUGGUUCAAAAGUAAAAGACGGUCUUGCUGUCACUUAUAGAUGGAUCCGCGCUGCAUUAGCUAGUUGGUAAGGUAACGGCUUACCAAGGCAACGAUGCAUAGCCGACCUGAGAGGGUGAUCGGCCACACUGGAACUGAGACACGGUCCAGACUCCUACGGGAGGCAGCAGUAGGGAAUCUUCCGCAAUGGGCGAAAGCCUGACGGAGCAACGCCGCGUGAGUGAUGAAGGUCUUCGGAUCGUAAAACUCUGUUAUUAGGGAAGAACAUAUGUGUAAGUAACUGUGCACAUCUUGACGGUACCUAAUCAGAAAGCCACGGCUAACUACGUGCCAGCAGCCGCGGUAAUACGUAGGUGGCAAGCGUUAUCCGGAAUUAUUGGGCGUAAAGCGCGCGUAGGCGGUUUUUUAAGUCUGAUGUGAAAGCCCACGGCUCAACCGUGGAGGGUCAUUGGAAACUGGAAAACUUGAGUGCAGAAGAGGAAAGUGGAAUUCCAUGUGUAGCGGUGAAAUGCGCAGAGAUAUGGAGGAACACCAGUGGCGAAGGCGACUUUCUGGUCUGUAACUGACGCUGAUGUGCGAAAGCGUGGGGAUCAAACAGGAUUAGAUACCCUGGUAGUCCACGCCGUAAACGAUGAGUGCUAAGUGUUAGGGGGUUUCCGCCCCUUAGUGCUGCAGCUAACGCAUUAAGCACUCCGCCUGGGGAGUACGACCGCAAGGUUGAAACUCAAAGGAAUUGACGGG